GCCCACGGGUUGAGAACUACUUUCCUAAAAGCAUCAGAGCCCAUCUGAUCUUGGUAGCUAUGCCAGGUCAUCCCUAGUUAGUAUUUGAUGGAGACCACCAACAAAUACCAGGUGCUGUAGGUU
rnacentral:rRNA from 11 species